rnacentral:rRNA from 1 species
AUGAGGAUUUCCAUUGAUGAGUGCAAAGAAAGAACCGCUAGGAUGCGUGCUAAGAAAGAUUGCUUUAUAAAAGCGUGUUCCUCUAGUUUUCAUGAUAAUAAGGAUGAAGAUUUAAAAGUAAUUGAUGUGUCUCCUAUUAAAUCUUUGUUUUGCAAUAUGAAUCUUGAUAAUGAUGGGACUGGAGAUGAGUCAACUUUAGUUAAAAGGCGUCCCAAUGAUUCGGAGUUUUUAGAUCUUGAUGCAAAAAUUGGUAAAAGUGGGAUUGAAGAGGUCAAAACUUUAGAUAGCAAUGAACCCACUAUUUUGGAUUUCAAGGAAUUUAAUUAUGAUAAUUGUUCUUUAAUAGAUUGUAUUUCCUUGUUGCAAUCCGUGCUAAAUUCUCCGCAUGCUUAUAGUCAAAAUAAAGCUUUUACUAAACAUAUCGUUGAUGCUUUAAUGCAAUCUUAUGAAGAAAAGCUUGAAUUGGAAGUUUCUAUCCCUAGAAAACUUUAUGAUGAGUGGGAACCUACUAUUAAAAUUAAAAUUAAAGAUCAUGAAUGCUAUGCUUUGUGUGAUUUGGGUGCUAGUGUUUCCACGAUUCCAAAAACUUUGUGUGAUAUGUUAGGUUUCCGUGAAUUUGAUGAUUGUUCUUUAAACUUGCACCUUGAGGAUUCCACCAUUAAUAAACCUAUGGGAAGAAUUAAUGAUGUUCUUUUUGUUGCAAAUAGGAAUUAUGUGCCCGUAGAUUUCAUUGUCCUUGAUAUAGAUUGCAAUCCUUCAUGUUCUAUUAUUCUUGGUAGACCUUUCCUUAGAACGAUUGGUGCAAUUAUUGAUAUGAAAGAGGGGAAUAGUAGAUUCCAAUUUCCUUUAAGGAAAGGCAUGGAACACUUUCCUAGAAAGAAAAUUAAAUUACCUUAUGAAUCUAUCAUGAGAGCCACUUAUGGAUUGCAUGCCAAAGAUGACAACACCUAG